CAUGAAGUUGGAAUCGCUAGUAAUCGCGGAUCAGCAUGCCGCGGUGAAUACGUUCCCGGGCCUUGUACACACCGCCCGUCACACCAUGAGAGUCGGGAACACCCGAAGUCCGUAGCCUAACCGCGAAGGGGGGCGCGGCCGAAGGUGGGUUCGAUAAUUGGGGUGAAGUCGUAACAAGGUAGC
rnacentral:rRNA from 1 species